AACGAACGCUGGCGGCAGGCCUAACACAUGCAAGUCGAGCGAAGCCUUCGGGCUUAGCGGCGGACGGGUGAGUAACGCGUGGGAACGUGCCCUUUGCUACGGAAUAGCCCCGGGAAACUGGGAGUAAUACCGUAUGUGCCCGUCGGGGGAAAGAUUUAUCGGCAAAGGAUCGGCCCGCGUUUGAUUCGGUAGUUGGUGGGGUAAUGGCCUACCAAGCCGACGAUCCCUAGCUGGUUUGCGAGGAUGAUAAGCCACACUGGGACUGCGACACGGCCCAGACUCCUACGGGAGGCAGCAGUGGGGAAUCUUAGACAAUGGGGGAAACCCUGAUCUAGCCAUGCCGCGUGAUCGAUGAAGGCCUUAGGGUUGUAAAGAUCUUUCAGUGGGGAAGAUAAUGACUGUACCCACAGAAGAAGCCCCGGCUAACUCCGUGCCAGCCGCCGCAGUAACAC
rnacentral:rRNA from 1 species